rnacentral:rRNA from 1 species
GCUUAGAGUUUGAUCCUGGCUCAGGAUGAACGCUGGCGGCGUGCCUAACACAUGCAAGUCGAACGGAAUCUUCGGAUUUAGUGGCGGACGGGUGAGUAACGCGUGAGAAUCUGCCUUUAGGUUCGGGACAACAGUUGGAAACGACUGCUAAUACCGAAUGUGUCGCAAGAUGAAAGAUUAAUUGCCUAAAGAUGAGCUCGCGUCCGAUUAGCUAGUUGGUGUGGUAAAAGCGCACCAAGGCGACGAUCGGUAGCUGGUCUGAGAGGAUGAUCAGCCACACUGGGACUGAGACACGGCCCAGACUCCUACGGGAGGCAGCAGUGGGGAAUUUUCCGCAAUGGGCGAAAGCCUGACGGAGCAACGCCGCGUGAGGGAGGAAGGCUUUUGGGUUGUAAACCUCUUUUCUCAAGGAAGAUAAUGACGGUACUUGAGGAAUCAGCAUCGGCUAACUCCGUGCCAGCAGCCGCGGUAAUACGGAGGAUGCAAGCGUUAUCCGGAAUAAUUGGGCGUAAAGCGUUCGUAGGUGGUUUUACAAGUCUGCUGUUAAAGCGUGUAGCUCAACUACAUAAUGGCGGUGGAAACUGUAGAACUAGAGUACGUUCGGGGCAGAGGGAAUUCCUAGUGUAGCGGUGAAAUGCGUAGAGAUUAGGAAGAACACCGGUGGCGAAAGCGCUCUGCUAGGCCGUAACUGACACUGAGGGACGAAAGCUAGGGGAGCGAAUGGGAUUAGAUACCCCAGUAG